CCUGCCGUCUACUCUUGGCCAGCCUUCUGAAAGGAAGAUUAAUCCAGGAUGGGAUCAUGAGUUCACAUGUCCGCAUGAUUAAAGGUAUUUUCCGGUAGACGAUGGGGAUGCGUUCCAUUAGAUAGUAGGCGGGGUAACGGCCCACCUAGUCAACGAUGGAUAGGGGUUCUGAGAGGAAGGUCCCCCACAUUGGAACUGAGACACGGUCCAAACUCCUACGGGAGGCAGCAGUGAGGAAUAUUGGUCAAUGGGCGAUGGCCUGAACCAGCCAAGUAGCGUGAAGGAUGACUGCCCUAUGGGUUGUAAACUUCUUUUAUAAAGGAAUAAAGUCGGGUAUGCAUACCCGUUUGCAUGUACUUUAUGAAUAAGGAUCGGCUAACUCCGUGCCAGCAGCCGCGGUAAUACGGAGGAUCCGAGCGUUAUCCGGAUUUAUUGGGUUUAAAGGGAGCGUAGAUGGAUGUUUAAGUCAGUUGUGAAAGUUUGCGGCUCAACCGUAAAAUUGCAGUUGAUACUGGAUGUCUUGAGUGCAGUUGAGGCAGGCGGAAUUCGUGGUGUAGCGGUGAAAUGCUUAGAUAUCACGAAGAACUCCGAUUGCGAAGGCAGCCUGCUAAGCUGCAACUGACAUUGAGGCUCGAAAGUGUGGGUAUCAAACAGGAUUAGAUACCCUGGUAGUCCACACGGUAAACGAUGAAAGCUCGCUGUUUGCGAUAUACGGCAAGCGGCCAAG
rnacentral:rRNA from 1 species